UAGGUCGACCCGCUGAAUUUAAGCAUAUCACUAAGCGGAGGAAAAGAAACUAACCAGGAUUCCCCUAGUAACGGCGAGUGAAGAGGGAAAAGCCCAGCACCGAAGCCUGUGGCAGCUUUGCUACUAGGCAAUGUGGUGUUUAGGUCGGCUCGCGGGAUCGCCACUCCACUCCAAGUCCAGCCUUGAUUAUGGUUGCCAGGAAUUGGCCCAUAGCGGGUGAUAGGCCCGUAGGGGUGGAGGUAUCAGAUAUGUAAGGCGAUUCACCAGGCCGGCCUUAGAGUCGGGUUGUUUGCGAAUGCAGCCCAAAGUGGGUGGUAAACUCCAUCCAAGGCUAAAUACUGGCACGAGUCCGAUAGCGAACAAGUACCGUGAGGGAAAGUUGAAAAGUACUUUGAAGAGAGAGUAAACAGUACGUGAAACCGCAUAGAGGUAAACGGGUGGCGUCAAGCUGCAAGCCCGGAGAAUUCAGUCGGUCAGGGUGUUGUGUCUGCGCCCAGCGCAGCUAUCAGUCGGUGUGCUCGGGCUAGUCCGCCGGUAAAUGGCGGGCCCAGCUGUCACAGGCUGGGAUUUGCCUUCCGAGUGUUAGUCGGAGCAAGCUAGUCGUCCGUGGGACUGCCUGGCCGAUGCACUUUCUCUGUGGUGUACACCACGACCGGUGGAACUGCCAGUCUACCUUAGCCAGCUUCGUGGCUCGCUCUUGGCCUCUUCUCGGGGCUGGAACGAGUGGCGAUCACAGGCAACUUCAGUGCACGGUGCUUGCGGGUUUUCGCUCGUAGGCAUGCUAUCGGGAACUGGUUGUCAACGAGUCUGUUUGGCCCGGACACUGUCCUGUAGUCGCAGUGUGCAUUCUGGGUGACUCGGUGGGCUAUGGCGGCAGGAGAAGCUGUGCAGGGCACCGGAGAUGUCGGUCUGUAUAUACGACGGCCGCACACGCACUACAGCUUGGCGUGUGCCAUGCAGGGCACUGAUAGCGUUGCCAGGGUCUGCCAACGCUCGGGUCUGAUCAUCGUGUCGCCCGUCAAAAUGACGGGUCCGGUGGUGGCUUGGGCUUGGAUGGUGCCUGUGGGCAGCGUGGUCACAGUGCGGCCGUAUUGAGAGACCAGAUAGUCAGUGGUGUAGUGGUAGACGAGCUACCCGACCCGUCUUGAAACACGGACCAAGAAGUUCAACAUGCGCGCGAGUCAAGGGGUCGUACGAAACCCAAAGGCGCAAUGAAAGUGAAGCCUUGCUUGCUUGCUUUCUCCCCAUCGCUAUCUCUGUGUAGUGUUGGUGGCGGCGGCAGCGGCUUGGUGUGGUGAGAUCCCGCUGUUUCUCGCAUGUAUUUGUCACUUGUGACGAGGACUGGCAGCUGGGGCUAGCUAUGUUGUCUCGCACAACACAUCUAGACGAGCAGUGGGCGCAUCACCGGCCCGUCCCAUGAUGUGGCUAUUGGUUCAGUGCAGUGGUUGGGCAACCGAUCGUCUGUCUGGCCGGUACGUCAUCGGGGCGGAGCAUGAGCGCGCAUGUUGAGACCCGAAAGAUGGUGAACUAUGCUUGCGUAGGUUGAAGCCAGAGGAAACUCUGGUGGAGGACCGCAGCGAUUCUGACGUGCAAAUCGAUCGUCAAACGUGAGCAUAGGGGCGAAAGACUAAUCGAACCAUCUAGUAGCUGGUUCCCUCCGAAGUUUCCCUCAGGAUAGCUGGCACUCUGUGGUAGACACAGUUUUAUCCGGUAAAGCGAAUGAUUAGAGGUGCUGGGUUCGAAACGAGCUCAACCUAUUCUCAAACUUUAAAUGGGUGAGAUGCCCGGCUCGCUUGAUAGGAGUCGGGCGUUGAAUGUGUGAGUGCCAAGUGGGCCAUUUUUGGUAAGCAGAACUGGCGCUGUGGGAUGAACCAAACGCCCGGCUAAGGUGCCUAAUGCUGACGCUCAUGAGACACCACAAAAGGUGUUGGUCAAUAUAGACAGCAGGACGGGGCCAUGGAAGUCGGCAUCCGCUAAGGAGUGUGUAACAACUCACCUGCCGAAUCGACCGCCCUGAAAAUGGAUGGCGCUGGAGCGUCGGACCUAUACCGGGCCGUCACUGCAAGCUGGACUGCUGGCAGGAAGUGCGAGCGGCAUAUGGCCGGUUAGCUUGACAGGCGCCGGUCGCCGAACUGAUGUCAUAGUCCAGGCAUGGAGUGCGGUGACGAGUAGGAGGGUCGCCGUGGUGAGCGUAGAAGCCUCGGACGUGAGUCUGGGUGGAGCCGCCACGGGUGCAGAUCUUGGUGGUAGUAGCAAAUAUUCAAGUGAGAACCUUGAAGGCCGAGGUGGAGAAGGGUUCCAUGGGAACAGCAGUUGACCAUGGGUCAGGCGGUCCUAAGCGAUCCGGUGACUCGGUACAGAGACGUGGGGUGCCUAGCACGUGCUUUUUCAUUGUGCACAGUGUAUGUGUUACAACAGGCUGGCAGCCCCCCGGAGCGAAAGGGAAUCGGGUUAAUAUUCCCGACCCUGCCCACGGAGAUAGACGUGUGCUUGGCUGGGU
rnacentral:rRNA from 1 species